UUCAGAAAGACGAAUUUUCAUUGGUUCUCCCUCAAAUGUUGCAACCGCAGCUUUAUCUGGAGUUUUGGGCAUUUUGCUUCUUUGUACAGUUGUCGGUGUUUACCUGUGGAACAGACGAAGGUCUACGCCACCAGUUUCAGAACAGGAAGAUCAUCAUGAAAUCGAAAUGUCCUAUGAACAGCUUCAAAGACAGGCAAACGAACCAACAAACAUGAAUGUUGACGAAAACUAUUCCGUUCUUUCACUGUAGACGUUCGAAGCACUGUCACUAUGUAUUUGUGUGAGAUUAGAGGUGUUACAACAGUUUUCAUUUUUUUUAUUCUGAAACUAGAACAUAGUCGGGCUUAUUUUGACAUAUUUUGCUUGUAUAUAUAAUUAAUUCCUUUUUAAAUAUGUGUUGUAUAUUAUUUCCAGAAAUUUAUAACCAUCAUAUUCAUCAUUUAACGUUAUUUAUAAACAUGUUCUGGUGUACAUAUAUCAUUAUCUGUU